rnacentral:lncRNA from 1 species
GGCAGCGCCAGCCGCACGGGGCAGACCGUCUCGAUCAUGCUCGUCAUCCCCGUGAACGGGUUGCUGUCGUUGUCCGUCGCCGCCACGCGCAGGUACGUCGACAUCUCCGUCGCCGGGGACCAGUACCCGUCCGAGAGCCCCGUGAACUGGAGGCACGUCCGGUCGCCGCCGAACUUGUACCCGAACGCCACGCAGCUGGAGUUACCCCGGCAGAGUCUCUCGCAGUCCGCCAGGUUCUGCGGCGUCAGCUUGGUCAUCAGCGGCCCCUGGUCCGACGCCGUGGUGCUGGCGCCACCGGAGAAGGAGACGAAGUCCAUCCGCACGAACUUGUCGUCGUCGCCCCUGCCGCUGUAGUUUUUCUUGGGCGUGCAGGCGUCCGUCAGGCUGCCGUUGCGGUAGCCCGGCGGGCAGACGCAGCUCGUGCUGUCGGCGCCGACGGGGACGCAGAUCCUGCCGCCGGCGCAGGUGCCCCGGAUGGUGCAGAGCUCCUGCACGACCUGCCACACCACGAGCCACGUCCGGGUCUUGGGCACCAGGCUGUAGAGGCGCAGGUUGCCGUCGUCGUCCAGCGUGAGCCGACGCACCCGGUUGGUGGUGCCUUGGUCGGACGCGAUGAGCUCAGAGCCGCUGAACUGGAGCCUGCCGUCGGCGGUGAGGUUGAGCAGAGCGUUGCCGCCGCUGCUGAUGUUGGCGUACAUCUUGGAAUUGUUGAACUGCAGCGUGGCGGAGUUGACGAGCCUGUAGCGGCCGUUGUCGGACUGGAGCGUUGUGGUGAAGUUGCCUUCCGGUAUGGCCUGCCCCGGCAUCAGCGUGUCGGUGGGCUCGGCGAAGCUCGACCAGGCGGCGGCGGCGUAGACUAGGCUCCCCGUAACGUUGAGCUGCAGCACCGCCGGAGUGGUGGUGGUAUUGGCGGUGGGCUGGAGCGACCAGAUGGUGGUAGCGUUGUUGCUCCCGCCGGCGGUCCAGGAGAGCUGGCCCGCCGCGUCGAUGGCGAGCGUGGAGUUGACGUCGCCCUCGUGGGGGGAGUAGCUGCGGAGGUCAUGGGCGUACCAUAUGACGGCGUUGUUGGUGGAGUUGGAGCCGACGACCCAGACGGCGAAGCGGUAGCGGCCCUUAGCGGAGGCCGACGGCACGAAUCCGGCGGCGAAGUCGCCAGAGAGGAGGUUGCGGUUGCUCUCGGUGGGGCUCCAGGUCAAGUUGCUUGCGGAGAAAGUGGACGGCAGCUGCUGAGCGGCGGCGAGAGGCGGCACGAGGAGGAGGAGGAGGAGGCAGAGGAGGCGGGAGAGGGAGGCCAUGGCCGUGCCCUGCUGCAGCCAAGACGACGACGACGACUCUCCUUUGCUGCUGGUGUCGCGUGGAAAUAGCCGAUCAAUUCAAUCCUGGUCUCAUUGCAGCGUCACAUCAUCUAUGGGGGAUUGAAUUGGGGUCGGGGUUGGGAUGAUGCAGCCGACUGAUUUCUUUCAAAGACUAGUAGCAAAUCGGUCAUAGUUUGAGUUUCCAGUCGCCGCUGCAAAUAAACUUUGGAAUGGACGUAUUCCGUUUCUUUAUUCCAGUGCUGCUCAUGGCGUGUCCCAGCUGCAAUCCACAUGUCAUGCCAUGUGGGACCACUAAUGGGUCGGGAUCGGACUGUGGCCUGUGGGUGGAGACUCGGGGCUUUUUUUUUUUCGUUCACUUGCUUUAGUUUAAAAAAUUUUCAAGAUUUUUCAUCAAAUCGAAUCUUUAUAUCAUACAUAAAGCAUUAAAUAUAAAUAAAAAUAAAAAUUAAUUACACAGUUUACUUGUAAUUUACGAGAUAAAUUUUUUAAACUUAGUUACUCUAUAAUUGAAUAAUAAUUGUCAUAUAUAAAUAAAAGGGCUAAAAUAGACAAAGUCAAAAAAUUUCACCAAGGUCUUGUUUAGUUCCGAAAAUAUUUCGGAUUUCGGUACUGUAGCACUUUCGUUUGUUUGUGACAAAUAUUAUCCAAUCAUGGACUAACUAGGAUUAAAAGAUUCAUCUCGCGAUUUAUAACUAAAUGCAAUUAGUUUUUGUUUUCGUUUAUAUUUAAUACUUCAUGCAUGUGCCAUAAGAUUUGAUGUGACUGAGAAUCUUGAAAAUUUUUUGUUUUUUUUUGUGAAAGGCCAAGGCGUUAGUUAUUCCCGAGACAAGGAACAGUUCAAGUUGGGUACCAUGGGCCAUGGCUGCCGGGACGGAGGAUACCGAAGACUUUGACUUGGAAUUUCAUUGCAGAAAUUGAGAAUUCAAUACUCCUCAUGAGUCAUGAAGCAAUUUGCAAUCCGUUGUACUGUGCUUCUCAUAUUUUAAUAUAAUAGUCGCUGUAAAAAAAAGCACAUGCGUACAUCACUCGUUAAGCUGAAUUACUUGUAGAAACCUGUGGGUUUCGCCAUUUAAGAAUCGCCUCAUUAACAAUUUCAUUAAUCUUCUCUUAUGGGAAUAAAAGGGAUUAUCAUUUUCCCAAGAAAAAUAUGUGGUUCAACUAGUUAAAUGGUAGAGUGGACAAUCCCUUUCAUUUUGUUUUUCUACACAAGAAUCACAAAAAAAAAACGAAAUAAAGAGUAAAACAAAAAAAUAAGUCAAAGAUAGAAAACUCUAGAUUCAAAAUGGAAGGUCCAUCUACUAGGUGUCUACUGUCUAGGCAUUUUUCCCUCUCUACACCUAAUUCAGGAGCCUUAAUCCAAAUCCAAAGGCUCGUAGUCUAUCAAGCAUCCCUACAUGAGAUGGCGACAACGAACAAUUCACUCGAAUUUUCUUCAAGAGGCCUUUGGUAUUUCAAAACAAACAACAAAAACUGAUGAUAAUAUUUCACUCUCUCUCUCUCUCUCUCUAAAAAAAGGCAUUCU